CCUUACCCACCAUUGAGAAUGUCUACGUGUUCCAUUGGACAUUUUUCCAGCGUCAUCCAUAUUAGGUUCUUCGGUGUGACGGGGGAAACUUCGCAGGCAGGCUAAAGGGCUCCCCGGUUUAAAAGUGAGCAGGGCUCUCCAUGUAUGGGACUGUGGUCCUGAUUCGAAGCCACGGCGCCAGGGCCGUAUAUGGAGAGUCUAUGAUUUGUAAGACACCCUCGUGGCACAGCAAACUACAACUGCAUACAGGAUCCCGGUUGGAAAGCCCUUAUCGAGGAGCGCAACUGUAUAGCCAUAUAGGAACGACAACACGAAGGAAAGAAGGACCUGAGCCCCAGGACCAUGCCUCUGGACUACCUGGCAUGAUGACUCCUUGCUUGUCCCCAGUCCACCUGGCCGUGCUGCUGCUCCAGUUUCAACUGUUAUGCUCCAGUUUCAACUGUUCAACGGCUAUGGAAUCCUGACCCGUUCACCGGAUGUGCCACCUGUCCCAGACCUGCUGUUUUCAACUCUCUAGAGACAGCAGGAGUGGUAGAGAUACUCUUAAUGAUCGGCUAUGAAAAGCCAACUCACAUUUACUCCUGAGGUGCUGACUUGCUGCACUCUCGACAACUACUGUGAUUAUUAUUAUUUGACCUUGCUGGUCAUUUAUGAACAUUUGAACAUCUUGGCCAUGUUCUGUUAUAAUCUCCACCCGGCACAGCCAGAAGAGGACUGGCCACCGCUCAUAGCCUGGUUCCUCUCUAGGUUUCUUCCUAGGUUUUGGCCUUUCUAGGGAGUUUUACCUAGCCACCGUGCUUCUACACCUGCAUUGCUUGCUGUUUGGGGUUUUAGGCUGGGUUUCUGUACAGCACUUUGAGAUAUCAGCUGAUGUACGAAGGGCUAUAUAAAUACAUUUGAUUUGAUUUGAUUGGCCACAGAUAAAAUGACCUCAAAUCACAUUAUAUGUACAGUAGCUUUGAUUGGACUGAUCAUGUCAACAUCUUACUUUCUUAGCUAGCAGUCAUCAUCGUGAAUCAAGUCGACAAUCUACUGGCAAAUCCUUUUUAAUCCUUGUCAUAUGAAUAGAAAUUAUAGCUAAAAUGUAUCGGUGCUCAUCGGUCAUUGGACAUAAAGAUUACACAACAAAUUCAACAAUGAGUCGUUUGGAAGGAAUCAGUGGCUAACUGCAAGCAUUACAAAGCAACCACUAAUGUUAGCCUGCUAUUCAAUGGAGUGGCUGUGUUUUUUUUCCAGAGUUCCCACCACAAAUCCAGAGAAUGCCAGACUUUGAUGCCAAAGUUUGAUGCCAAAAUUUGCCCACAAAGGCCCGCUGCACCACCUUCACAAGGUGAGUCCAAAAAUAUAUUGUAUGUUGCUGCAUAAAUGAUGUAAUAUGCAACGGAGAUAUGUAUAUUGUAGCUAAGAAGGUAAUACGCUAUUGUAAACACAUCGUUCAUGGCCUGGUGUGUGCUUGUUAGCAAACUUUUUUGUACAGCUUUGACAGUGCUACUGAUAGUAGUGGGGGCGCUUGGCUUGCACGUGCAAAUUCAGCAUACACAACAUUCUAUAAUAGAAUUGUGUCAUUUGAUGUGUCAAAUUAAAAGCUUAUUUAACGUGUCAAAUAGUGUUAUAUGACGUGUAUGUUUUUUGACACGCAAAGACCCAAACGGCAUUCAAUGUGCUUCACCCUAACAAUUCAAUCUAUUUUCACCUCUUCAUUUUGCCUACUGUUCUAACUUGGGGGUGCACAUGUAGCCUAUAACCUGUUUUAGAGAAAUGUAAUCAUUGAAUAUUGGAAGAGUUUUCAUUGUCUGUUUAUAUGCCCCCUUUAUUUAUCCUAUGGUUCUGACUUGUUGUACAAGGAGAACACUGUAAGAACGGCCCAUGUUCUGAAUUCUGUCGCUGUACAUUUCAAAAGUGCUGAAUAAAUAGUUAUAUUGACUA